rnacentral:rRNA from 1 species
CACGUAGGGCGCAAGCGUUGUCCGGAAUUAUUGGGCGUAAAGAGCUCGUAGGCGGUCUGUUGCGUCCGCUGUGAAAACUCGGGGCUUAACCCCGAGCCUGCACCCGAUACUGCUGUGACUCGAGUCCGGUAGGGGAGUGGGGAAUUCCUGGUGUAGCGGUGGAAUGCGCAGAUAUCAGGAGGAACACCGGUGGCGAAGGCGCCACUCUGGGCCGGUACUGACGCUGAGGAGCGAAAGCGUGGGGAGCGAACAGG